rnacentral:tRNA from 1 species
GCGGACGUGGUGAAAUUGGUAGACACGCUAGAUUUAGGUUCUAGUGAGAGCAUCUCAUGAGAGUUCGAGUCUCUCCGUCCGCA